GCUCUGGUGGCGGAACAGGUAGACGCGUUGGACUUAAAAUCCAAUCGGGUUAAUCGCUCGGUACCGGUUCGAUUCCGGUCCAGAGCA
rnacentral:tRNA from 1 species